GACGAACGCUGGCGGCGUGCCUAAUACAUGCAAGUCGAACGCAGUGGGGAUGGGUGAGUAACACGUGGGUAACCUCCCAUCAGAGGGGAUAACAUUUGGAAACAGGUGCUAAACCGAUACUGAUGGAUGGACCCGCGGUGCAUUAGCUAGUUGGGGGGGGAACGGCUCAACAAGGCCACGAUGCAUAGCCGGCCUGCAGGGGUGGACGGCCAAACUGGGACCGGGACACGGCCCAGACUCCUUCGGGAGGCAGCAGUAGGGGAUCUUCGGCAAUGGGGGGAACCCUGGCCGAGCAACGGCGCGUGAGUGAAGAAGGUUUUCGGAUCGUAAAGCUCUGUUGUUAAGGAAGCGGUACUUAACCAGAAAGGGACGGCUAACUACGUGCCAGCAGCCGCGGUAAUUC
rnacentral:rRNA from 1 species